rnacentral:rRNA from 1 species
GGUUAGACGAAGAAUCUAAAUAGAGUAAUUGGUGUAUUAGUUUACAGUUAAAAUUUAAAAGUUAAUUGGUUUAUUUUUUUAAGUGAAAUUUACACAAACAAUUAAAUAAUCUUGAUAUUUUAAGCGGGGCUAAAAAACUUAGAUAAAAAACCAGGAUUAGAUACCCUGUUAUUCUUAGAAAUAUAUUGCUAGGGUAGUAAAAGUUAUUCUUCAAACCCAAAGAUUUUGGCGGCAUUUUAUCCAAACAGAGGAACUUGCCCUUUAAUCGAUAACCCUCGUUAUAUCUUUCCUUUUCUUGUAAAGCUUGUAUACCUCCGUUGUCAGAUCACUCCUAGAGGAUGUUUUCUUUAAAAAUAAUUUUUUUACUUCAGGUCAAGGUGCAGUUUAUGUAAAGGUAGUGGUGAGUUACAUUUCUUUUUUAUGAAUACGAAUAUUUAUUUUGAAAUAUAUUUGAAGGUGGAUUUGUUAGUAGAUUUAUUUAAGCAAAAUAUCUCGAAUAUGGCAAUAGAAUGUGUACAUAUCGCCCGUCACUCUCCUUUUAAGAGGAGAUAAGUCGUAACAAA